GUCUACGGCCAUGCCACCCUGAACAAGCCCGAUCCUGUCUGAUCUCAGAAGCUAAGCAGGGUUGAGCCUGGUUAGUACUUAGAUGGGAGACCACCUAGGAAGACCAGGUGCUGUAGGUA
rnacentral:rRNA from 1 species